UCAGUAAAGAAUGAAAUUAAAUUAAAAGGGAUACAAAAGGGGUAUCCCAACCCUUUACACAUAACACACCAAGUUUUAAGACCUCCAAAAAAGACAACCCAAACCAGGAAGGACAUAAAAAGAAAAAAACUACUGCAUAAGGAAGCAUCCUACACCAUCCCUCUUCUGUUUCUAUUAUGUUUUUGAUGUUCUACAAAACACUGCUUAGCCUUUCAGCCAUCAAGCAACCAACGAUUGUUGUGUAAGGUGGUUUGUAUGAGGCAUAGAAGUUGCCACUUGUCACUUCUGCAGACCGCCUCAUACGUUCCACUUCUCAUCUCCACUGUCUCUGCAUUUCCUCCUGAUCAUUCUAGUAACGUAGCUGCCUCAGAGUAUAUUAGGUUGUUCCAGGAAGACUCCACAGAAACCUGAAAAUUUCCAUUGCUGCAUGAUCCAUCACCUCAUCUCCACAAGGGAUCCCUGCAUUUAUCUCAUCAAAGGGUAAGGAAGAGAUGAUGUUCAUGUCCACCCAAUGUCACUGAUCUCUGCCUCCAAUGACUGAAACAUGAUCACAAGUCUGACAUCGCCAUAGUACUCUUCUUCACAGCCUCUGAUGAUGACAUGUUUAAGAGUUCCCAGCACCUGUGUUGAUCCUCCUUCACUUCUCCCUCAUGACACGUCCUAGAAAUGUCUUGAACCAGAUUUGCCAGCCCAGGCUGUUUCUUGUUCUCCCUUGUUAUGCUUCAAAAGGUGUUAUACCUGCAAAACAGCAAAAAAGUUAAGGGAUAAACUCUGGAUGCAGAGUCCUCUUGACCUGACAGCUGUUCCAGCCCCAGAUCCUUGCCCUGUUCUCACCCGAGUGGCACUAUCUAGUGUUCCCUCCCACCUUUAGAAGGUAGCUAUAGCAUUGAUCGCACAGACUAAAGAUUGUCGUGACACAAUUGGGAAAUCUCCAUCUCAAAUAUUCUCUAUGGAGCUGCAGCUGGCAGUUGCCAAGGUUCACUAAGAGAUUUGGAAGUAUAUUCUGAGAAGAGAUAUUGUAGUCCCAACAGGGCCUUUCAUCAUAGGAGAUGAAAGCAAGCAAUUCCUGCCAAGAUUCGACUCCUUCGUGCCACCAUCUUUCUCAUCUUCCUCUUGUUCCUUCCACCCAAAAAAGUGUCUCAAUCCUGUGACUGUUAUCACACCAAAGACCAAACCACUUACACUAUGCCAUCCACCAAAAAACCGUGGUAUCCUCG
rnacentral:lncRNA from 1 species